UACAGAGGGUGCGAGCGUUAAUCGGAAUUACUGGGCGUAAAGCGUGCGUAGGCGGUUGCGUAAGUCAGAUGUGAAAGCCCCGGGCUCAACCUGGGAACUGCAUUUGAGACUGCUCUGCUCGGGUGCGGAAGAGGGAAGCGGAAUUUCCGGUGUAGCGGUGAAAUGCGUAGAUAUCGGAAGGAACACCAGUGGCGAAAGCGGCUUCCUGGUCCGACACCGACGUUCAGGCACGAAAGCGUGGGGAGCAAACAGG
rnacentral:rRNA from 1 species